rnacentral:rRNA from 1 species
UACGUAGGGGGCAAGCGUUGUCCGGAAUCAUUGGGCGUAAAGCGCGCGUAGGCGGCCAGAUUAGUCCGGUGUGAAAGUCAGAGGCUCAACCUUUGAAUGCCGCUGGAAACUGUCUGGCUUGAGUCCGGAAGGGGCGAGUGGAAUUCCUGGUGUAGCGGUGAAAUGCGCAGAUAUCAGGAGGAACACCAAUGGCGAAGGCAGCUCGCUGGAACGGUACUGACGCUGAGGCGCGAAAGCGUGGGGAGCGAACAGG